UACGUAGGGUGCAAGCGUUGUCCGGAAUUAUUGGGCGUAAAGAGCUCGUAGGCGGCUUGUCGCGUCGGCUGUGAAAACCUGGGGCUCAACCCCGGGCCUGCAGACGAUACGGGCAAGCUAGAAUUCGGUAGGGGAGACUGGAAUUCCUGGUGUAGCGGUGAAAUGCGCAGAUAUCAGGAGGAACACCGGUGGCGAAGGCGGGUCUCUGGGCCGAUAUUGACGCUGAGGAGCGAAGGCGUGGGGAGCGAACAGG
rnacentral:rRNA from 1 species